rnacentral:tRNA from 1 species
CGCCGGCGUGGCCCAGGUGGGGCCGGCGGUGGGCUCGUUGUUCAUCCACCUGAUGCCGGUGUUCGCGUCGAUCCUGUCGGCGCUGGUGC